GCUUCUGACACCUAUUUUUAAUAUUCUCUGCUCUGGUUACAUUUCAGACAGUAUAACUGAAUCUAAAGUCUAUGUUUUGAUUGAUGGUUUUCUUUUCUCAGGAAGUUUUUAUCUCCUCAUUUUCAUUGUCUCAAAUUUCACUUUAAAAUCUCAGCUCAAAAACUACAAGCUUUCUUAAACUUAUACUCAUCCGACAUGCUAUUUUACCUAUGAAACCACUUACUCUCAAAUGACUCAGUGUCAUACUCUUUGAAUUUAUUUUCUUCCACGUCUCUAGCAGCUUCUUCUCAUCCCCUUUGCUGUUUUCUGUUUUUUUUUCUCAACCUCCUGGACUUAGCAAAUUUUCAUGUUUACAUCAGUUUCAUCUCUGUCCCUUUCCCAUUUUGUGUUCCACUAACUUCACCCAUAUGAUAAUGACCUCCAAUAUAUGUAUUCAGCACUACCUCUGGGCAGUCUCCAUAUUUAUAGUGGCUUAUUAUUUUAUAGCAAUAACAAUUGUUUCUUGGAGUCAGACACUAUUUUGUGGUUCUUGCAAUAUUUAAUGAUUAAAAAUAGUUUAUUUAUAACUAUAAAAUAUGGCAUUUGUUAAUUAUAAUUAACCUGUUAACACUGAACCAUUCAUAGAGAGUUAUGCCAACAGACUAUUUCAGUGGCUACAAUUGAAUUCAGCACAUUUCAGCCAGUGAUCAUUCUGUUUAAUCGCGUAUUUCAAGGAUUUUCUUGACUGAAAGAUUUUGUUUUAUUUUUCUCAGCCUGGAAUUUCAUCUGCUGGAGCUCUGCAUGUCUAGUCCCUCACUUCCUUCAGUUCUUUCUCAAGUAUCACCUUCUCUGGUUGCUUUCUCAGCUUUCCAGUAUAAAAUAGAAGCCAUCUAACUGCUGUAAUUUUGUCUGGUUAGUCGCUGCUUUAUUUCUAGUAUUUUAACAGUGAAUAAAGAUAUAGGCUUGUAAAAAUGGUUUUGCAUUUAAAAAACAUGAAUUGGUGAGUAAAAGAAUAAGAUAUAUGUGUAUCACUAAUAUAAAAAAUGUUAUGCUAUAUGCUAAGUGAAAAAAGUAUUUUGUGAAUCAUAUAUAAAAUAUGAUUAUAUUUUUAA
rnacentral:lncRNA from 1 species